rnacentral:rRNA from 1 species
AACGUCGUGAGACAGUUCGGUCCCUAUCCGUCGCAGGCGUAGGAAAUUUGAGGAGACCUGUCCUUAGUACGAGAGGACCGGGAUGGACGUACCUCUGGUGUACCAGUUGUUCUGCCAAGGGCAUGGCUGGGUAGCUAUGUACGGAAUGGAUAAGCGCUGAAAGCAUCUAAGCGCGAAGCCAACUUCAAGAUAAGAUUUCCCACCGUAAGGGUAAGAUCCCAGGAAGACUACCUGGUUGAUAGGUCAAAGGUGUAAGUGCAGCAAUGUAUGUAGCUUAUUGAUACUAAUAGAUCGAGGACUUGACCAAG